rnacentral:rRNA from 1 species
AACGAACGCUGGCGGCAGGCUUAACACAUGCAAGUCGAACGCAUCGCAAGAUGAGUGGCAGUCGGGUGAGUAACGCGUGGGAACAUACCCUUUUCUACGGAAUAGCUCUGGGAAACUGGAAUUAAUACCGUAUACGCCCUACGGGGGAAGGAUUUAUCGGGGAAGGAUUGGCCCGCGUUGGAUUAGCUAGUUGGUGGGGUAAAGGCCUACCAAGGCGACGAUCCAUAGCUGGUCUGAGAGGAUGAUCAGCCACAUUGGGACUGAGACACGGCCCAAACUCCUACGGGAGGCAGCAGUGGGGAAUAUUGGACAAUGGGCGCAAGCCUGAUCCAGCCAUGCCGCGUGAGUGAUGAAGGCCUUAGGGUUGUAAAGCUCUUUCACCGAUGAAGAUAAUGACGGUAGUCGGAGAAGAAGCCCCGGCUAACUUCGUGCCAGCCGCCGCCGUAAUAC